GAUGAACGCUAGCGAUAGGCUUAACACAUGCAAGUCGAGGGGCAGCACAAGGUAGCUUGCUAUCUGGGUGGCGACCGGCGCACGGGUGCGUAACGCGUAUGCAACUUGCCCUAUACAGGAGGAUAACCCGUCGAAAGACGGACUAAUACUGCGUAUGCUCACAACUUGGCAUCAAGUGGUGAGGAAAGAAAUUCGGUAUAGGAUAGGCAUGCGUCCCAUUAGCUUGUUGGUGAGGUAACGGCUCACCAAGGCAACGAUGGGUAGGGGAACUGAGAGGUUUAUCCCCCACACUGGUACUGAGACACGGACCAGACUCCUACGGGAGGCAGCAGUGAGGAAUAUUGGUCAAUGGGCGCGAGCCUGAACCAGCCAAGUCGCGUGAAGGAUGACUGUCUUAUGGAUUGUAAACUUCUUUUAGACGGGAAUAACAAGAGUCACGUGUGACUCCCUGCAUGUACCGUAUGAAUAAGCAUCGGCUAACUCCGUG
rnacentral:rRNA from 1 species